AAAGCGCCGCGAACUGACGGAAUAGUUCGUUGAAGUACCUACCUAUAAUAUCUGCAGGCAAAUCCACAGAUCUUGGGGAAAUACGAUAGUACUCGGAGUCUUCGGACAAAGAGAUAGUGCGCCUAAGGGCUUCCAAGAAAAACCUCUAAACUUCAGGUAAUUAGUACCAGUACCGUAAACCGACACAGGUAGUUGAGGAGAGAAUCCUAAGGUGCUCGAGAGAUUCAUGGCUAAGGAAUUAGGCAAAAUAGACCCGUAACUUCGGGAGAAGGGUCGCCCUGUAGCAAUACAGGGCCGCAGUGAAGAGGUCCAGGCGACUGUUUAUCAAAAACACAGGGCUCUGCAAAAUCGUAAGAUGAAGUAUAGGGCCUGACACCUGCCCGGUGCUGGAAGGUUAAGAGGAGAUGUUAUCUUCGGAGAAGCAUUGAAUUGAAGCCCCAGUAAACGGCGGCCGUAACUAUAACGGUCCUAAGGUAGCGAAAUUCCUUGUCGGGUAAGUUCCGACCUGCACGAAUGGUGUAACGAUCUGGACACUGUCUCAGCCAUGAGCUCGGUGAAAUUGUAGUAACGGUGAAGAUGCCGUUUACCCGCAGUGGGACGAAAAGACCCUGUGCACCUUUACUAUAGCUUAGUAUUGACCUUGGAUAAAUGAUGUGUAGGAUAGGUUGGAGACUGUGAAGUGGCGUCGCCAGGCGUUGUGGAGUCAUUGUUGAAAUACAACCCUUUGUUUAUCUGAGGCCUAACCCCACAAACGUGGGGGACAUUGCUUGGUGGGUAGUUUGACUGGGGUGGUCGCCUCCAAAAGAGUAACGGAGGCUUCUAAAGGUUCCCUCAGUACGCUUGGUAACCGUGCGUAGAGUGCAAUGGCAUAAGGGAGCUUGACUGAGAGACAUACAGGUCGAUCAGGUACGAAAGUAGAGCAUAGUGAUCCGGUGGUUCCGCAUGGAAGGGCCAUCGCUCAAAGGAUAAAAGGUACGCCGGGGAUAACAGGCUGAUCUCCCCCAAGAGCUCAUAUCGACGGGGGGGUUUGGCACCUCG
rnacentral:rRNA from 1 species